CGGCCGCGUCGACGGGGGGCGAGCGUUGUUCGGAGUGACUGGGCGUAAAGAGCACGUAGGCGGUGUUGUAAGUCAUUAGUCAAAGGCUAGAGCUCAACUUUAGUAAGGCUAGUGAUACUAUAAUACCUAGAGUAUCAGAGAGGAUUGCAGAAUUCCUGGUGUAGCGGUGAAAUGCGUAGAUAUCAGGAGGAAUACCGGUAGCGAAGGCGGCAAUCUGGCUGGAAACUGACGCUGAGGUGCGAAAGCGUGGGUAGCAAACAGGAUUAGAUACCCUGGUAGUCCACGCUGUAAACGAUGGAUGCUAGGUGUUGGGCUACUAAGUUCAGUGCCGCAGCAAACGCGAUAAGCAUCCCGGCCUGGGGAGUACGUUUGCAAGAACUGAAACUCAAAGGAUUGACGGGGGUCCCGCACAAGCGGUGAGCACGUGGUUUAAUCGAUGAUACGCGAGGAACCUUACCUAGGUCUAGAAUGCGCGUGACCGCUCCAGAGUAUGGACGCUUUCUCGGGACACAAGCAAGGUGCUGCCG
rnacentral:rRNA from 1 species